rnacentral:rRNA from 1 species
UGGGGAAUAUUGGACAAUGGGGGCAACCCUGAUCCAGCCAUGCCGCGUGAGUGAUGAAGGCCUUCGGGUUGUAAAGCUCUUUUGGCGGGGACGAUGAUGACGGUACCCGCAGAAUAAGCCCCGGCUAACUUCGUGCCAGCAGCCGCGGUAAGACGAAGGGGGCUAGCGUUGUUCGGAAUUACUGGGCGUAAAGCGAGUGUAGGCGGUUGCCGUAGUCAGGUGUGAAAGCCUUGAGCUCAACUCAAGAAAUGCACUUGAUACUGGGUGACUAGAGGACCGGAGAGGAUAGUGGAAUUCCCAGUGUAGUGGUGAAAUACGUAGAGAUUGGGAAGAACACCAGUGGCGAAGGCGGCUAUCUGGACGGUUACUGACGCUAAGACUCGAAAGCGUGGGGAGCAAACAGGAUUAGAUACCCUGGUAGUCCACGCCGUAAACGAUGGGUGCUAGACGUUGGCGAGCUUGCUCGUCAGUGUCGCAGCUAACGCGUUAAGCACCCCGCCUGGGGAGUACGGCCGCAAGGUUGAAACUCAAAUGAAUUGACGGGGUCAUAGCUGUUUCCU